rnacentral:rRNA from 1 species
CACGUAGGGUGCAAGCGUUGUCCGGAAUCAUUGGGCGUAAAGCGCGUGUAGGCGGCUAGGUAAGUCUGCUCUGAAAGCCCGGGGCUCAACCCCGGGAGGCGGGUGGAUACUGUCUAGCUCGAGCCCGGAAGAGGAGUGUGGAAUUCCUGGUGUAGCGGUGAAAUGCGCAGAUAUCAGGAGGAACACCUGUGGCGAAGGCGGGUCUCUGGGCCGAAAUUGACGCUGAGGAGCGAAAGCGUGGGGAGCAAACAGG